ensembl:lncRNA
ACAACUGCUGAACCAAAAGGACAAACAAAGGAAAAACAACAACGUACUGGAGGACCAAAAUCAACCACUGAUGAACCAACCAAAGCAAUAACUGAAGAAAUAUUAAAAACGACUGCAGGACCAACAACAUCAACUGCAGUACCAACAACCACUGAAGCAGCACCCACAACAACAGCAGGACCAAUAACGACAACUGCUGAACUGACAUCAACAACUGCAGGACCAACAACUAUGACAGCAAAACCUGCUAGCACAACUGUAGUACCAACAACUACAACUGCUGAACUAACAUAGACAACUGCAGGACCAAGAACUAGGACAGCAGAUCCUGGAAGAACAAAUGCGGGAACAGCAUCUACUGCAGCACUAUUAACUUCUGCUGCGGGACCAAAAGCAACAAUUGCAGGAACGACAGCAGAACAUACAACUGCAGAACCAACAUUGACCACUGCUGAACUAACAACUUCAGCAUUAACAAAAAAAUCUGCAGGACCAACAACAUCAGGACGCAGAACAACAACUGCAGAACCAACAAUGACAACUGCUGCUCACAGAGCAAUAACUCCAGGACCACCAACCACUGCAAAACAAGCAGUAACAACUGCAGAGCUAUCAACUACGGCAGAAGUACCAACGACAACUACUGAACCAAUGUCCACAACUGUAGGACCAACAACUACUGCAAGUAAAGCUGCAACAGCAACUGCAGAAACAUCAACUGCAGGAAAAUCUACUAUUAAUGCAAGACCCUCAUCAACAACUUCAGGAAAAACAACAACGGCAGGACAAACCAGGGCAACUGCAGGACCAGCCACAAUAUCUGCAGGAUCAACAAUUGCAGCCACAGCAGCACUGACUGAGGGGCCAACAACAACGACUGCUGAACCAAAAUCAGAAGCUAAUGGACAAACAAUGACAACUUCUGAACUUAGUGCCGGGCCAAAAUCAACCACUGCUGAACCAAAAAAAACAAAGACUGAAGGACUAACAAAAACGACUUCCCGACCAACUACAUCAAAUGCAGUGUCAACAACUACUAAAGCCCAACCCAAAACAGCAACAGCAGGAUCAACAACUGCUGGAAGAACAACAAAAACUGCAGGACCAAUAACAAAUGCGAGAUCGACAACUAUAACGGCAAAACCUGCCAGAACUACUGCGGGACCAAAAUCGGCAACUGCUGAACCAACAUCAACAACUGCAGGACCGACAAUUACAACAGCAAAACCUGCAACGACUGCAGUACUAAUAACUUCUAACGUUGGAUCAACAAUGACCGCAGAACCCACAACAUCAACUGCAGCACCAAAGACAACAAUUGCAGUACCCACAACUACUUCUGCAGGAUCCAUAACUACUAAAACAGGACAACCAACAAAAAAUUCAGGACCAACGACUGCUCCUGCAGGACCAACUGAAACAGCAGGACCAACAACAACAACUGCAGGACCUAGAAUUAGCAAGGCAAAACCUUCAAGAACUGCAAGACCAACAUCCACAGCAAAACAAGUAACGACAACUGCAAAGCUAUCCACUACUGCAGAAGGACCGACAACAAAAACUGAAGGACAAACAAAAACAGGUAAAGGACCACAAAUAACAAGAGCUGAACCCACGGGACCAACAACAACUGCAGGAACAACAACUGCAGCAGUAUUAACUUCUACAACUGGUUCCACUACCACUGUAGGACCCACAACAAAAACUGCAGCACCAAAAACAACUACUGCAGUAACCACAACUACUUCUGCAACAACUGCUGGAACAACAAUAACUGCAGUAACAUCAUCAGGACCAUUUACUUUUACUGAAAGACCACCAACAUCAACGAAAAUCUCUACACAAACAACACUGACGGCAACAACAACAAAUGCAGGACCAAAAACAACAUCUACAGGAUUGACAACUGCAGGACCAGUAUCGAAAGCAGCUGAACCAACAACGGCAUCUAAAGGACAAACAACAACGACAACAGAACAAGCAGCUGCAGGACCAACAUCGACGACAUCUGCAGGACUAAAGAAAACAUCUGACAAACAAAAAAGAGCAACUAUAGGAACCAAAAUGACAACUGCAGGAUCAACAAUUGCAGUUACAACUACUACUAAAGCUGAACUCCCAUCAACAACAGAAGAGUCAACAAUAACAGGACCCACAAAACCAACUGCAGGCCCAUCGUCAACAAGAACUGCACUACCAAAAUCAACCACAACUGCAGGAACCACAACAACAACAGCGAAAGGACCAACAACUACGACAAUAGGACAUACUACUGCCGGACCCACAUUGAACACUUCUCAACCCAAAACAAAAACUUCUGGACCAACAAAAAAAUCUGCGGGACCAACGAUAACUAAUGAACCAAAAACAACAACUACAGGAACCACAACAAAAACUACAGGACCCACAACAAAAAGUACAGGAUCCACAUCAAAAACUGCAGUACCAGCAACUAACACAUCAGGAAUCUCAACAUCAGCAGGAUCAUCAUCUGCCGGACCAACAAUGACAACUGUAGAACUCAAACCAACAACUUCAGGAACAAUAACUAAACCUGCUGAACCCACAACUACUAAAGCAGGACCCACUUCAACAACUGCAAGACCAACAAGGACAACUGCUGAACCAACAACGACUGCUGCACCAAAAGCAACAAAUUCAGGACCUAUAGCAACUUAUGAAAUAAUAACAACUGCUGAACUAGCAACAACUCCUGGACCCAGAGCAACGACCACAGAACCAAAACUAACAACUGAGGGACCAUUACCGACUAACACAACACCAAUGAAAAAAACUGCAAAACCAACAACCACUGCAGGACCAAUAACAACAAAUAGAGGAUCCACAAAUCCUGCUUUAGGACCCUUAACUACCACAACUGGCCCAACAACAAAUACAUUAGGACCCACAGCAGUGACUGCAGGACCCACUACAACUUCAGAAGAAGGGAAUUUGGAGAUAACUUUUAGUUUAAGCGAAAUAUUUAUUGAACAAUACUCAGACCCUACUUCCACAAGCUUUCAGGUCCUCUCUAAUAAUGUUACAACAGAGGUAGACAAAGCCUUCAAAGCCCAUGUUCAAGAUAGCUUUGCCAGGAGUGAGGUAACAUCCUUCAGUAAUGGAUCAGUCGUUGUUGACUUGAAACUGAUCUUCAAAAACACAUCAGUUGUUCCCAGUGAAAGCACUGCAUUGCAGGUAUUGAUGGACGCAAUAUCCAGGGGCAUCACCAAGCUUAAUGUGGACAGAUCUACUAUUGUGACAAAUAAUAAAGAAACUACUACCACAACUGCAACAAAAGGAACCACACCUUUUACUGUCGGACUCACCGCUUUCUCAGCAGGACCAUCAAUAAUAACUGCAACAACUACAGCAGGACCCAAGACUGCUACUGUAGGACCCACAUCAACAACAACAGUACGGUCAGCAAACGAAAGACCAUCAUCUAUGGCAACAAAAUCUGCAGCAACAACUGCAAGACCAUCAACUGCUUCUGCAGGACUAACGACAACAACUGCAGGACCAUCAACUACUUCAGCAGGACUAACAACAACAACUGCAGGACCAUCAACUACAACUUCAGGAACAACAUCAACAACUGUGGGGCCAACCACCACACCAACCACUAGACGACCAGAACACAUGACUGCAGGACCGACAUCAAACAAUGCUGGAUCAACAAAAACUUCAGGACCACCAAAAUCAACUGCAGUAACAACCAAAACUGGACCUAGAACAACAACUGCAGAACAAACAACAACAACUGCUGGAUCAACAACGGUUCGAGCAGUACCCACAACAACAACUGCAGGACCAACAAUGACAACUACUGCAGGACCAUUAACUUUUACAGCAAGACCCACCACAACAACUUCAGGAACAACAACGGCAGGACAAACCACGACAACUGCAGGACCAGCAACAACAACCUCAGAAUCAACAAUUUCAGGAACAUCAACGACAACUGCUGACCCAACAUCAACAACUGUGGGCCCAAAAACUACAAAAGCAAAACCAGCAUCAUUGUCCUCAGGACCAACCACAAAAAGAAGACCGAAUACAAAACCUGCAAGACCUUUCACUUCUUCUGCAGUACCCAAAACAACAACUGAAGGACCAACAACAACAGCUUCAGAAGCAACAACUACUACAGCAGGGUUAGGACUAACAAAAACCACUGCAGGACAAUCAACAACUGGACCAAAAACCACAACUGCCGAACUUCAAAAGACUACUGAUCCCAGAGCAAAAACUGCAAGACGGACAACUGCUUCGGCAGUACCAAUAACAACAACAGCAAAACCAAUAAAAACAACUGCAGGACCAACAUCAACAACAACAACUACAGGACCAAUAACAAUAAAUGCAAGACCAACAACUACGACAGCAAAAACUGAAACAGCAACAGCUGGACCAAUAACAUCUGCAAGAUCCAUAACUAUGACAGCAAAACCUGCAACAACAAAUGCAGGAACAACAACUACAACAAUUGCAGGAAUGACAGCUGAACACAAAACUGCAGAACCAACAUUGAACAAUGCUAAAGAAACAACUACAAUUUCAGUGCAAACAAAAACUUUUGAAAGACCAACAGCCACAGGACCCAGAACAACAUCUGCAGAACCAACAAAGACAACUGCAGGACCAAAAACAACAACUUCAGGACCAAUAACAACAUAUUCAAGACCCACAACUACUAGAGCGAGAUCCCAAACUACGUCCAUAACAGGACUCACAACUACUGCAGUACAAAAAAACAACAACAGCAGGACAAACCAGGACUACUGCUGACCCAACAACAACAAUUGCUGGAACAAGAGCUACAACUGCAGGAACAUCAACCACUGCAGGACCCAAAACGACAACUGUUGAACAAACAACAACUGUGGAACCUACCACUGUAACUGCAAGGCUACUAACUACUUCUGCUGGACCCACAACAACAACUGCAGGACCAACAACGCCAACUGCAGAAGCAACAACAUCUUCUGGAACAAGAGCUAAAACUACAGGACUCACAAGAAAAUCUGCAGGACCAACAACGACAACUUCUGAACCAAAAACACUUGCAAGACCUACCACUGCUAUUGCAAGACUAUUAUCCACUACAGUAGGAACAACAACAACUGCAGGAAUAACAAAGCCAACUGUUGAACAACCAACAACAUCUGCAGGACCAACAACUGCAGUGCCAAAAACAACAGCAGGUCAAAAGACUGCAGGGCCAUCAAUUACUACAGCAAGAACCACGACAACUGCUGAACCAACAACAGCAGCAGAAAAGUCAACAUCUAUGACAACUGAAGAGACAACUGCAGGAACAACAAUAACAACUAAAAGAUCCACAACUCCACGGCCAACAACAACAUCUGUGGGAUCAAAAACGACUGCAGGACCAAAAACGAGAACGGCUCAACGAGAAACAAAAGCUACAGGACCCACAGCAACAACCUCUGAACUACCAAAAACAACGCCAACUGCUGAACCAACAACUACAAUUGCUGGAACAAGAGCUACAACUGCAGGAACAUCAACCACUGCAGGACCAACAACAACUGCUGGAACAAGAGCUAAAACUACGGGACUGACAACAAAAACUGAUGAACCAACAACAAUUGCAGGACCUACCACUGCUAUUGCAAGACUAUUAUCCACUACAGUAGGAACAACAACAACAACAACAACUGCAGGACUAACAAAGCCAACUGUUGAACAACCAACAACAUCUGCAGGACCAACAACUGCAGGGCAAAAGACUGCAGGGCCAUCAACUACUACAGCAACAUCCACAACAACAACUGCAGGACGAAAAAAGACAACUGCUGAACAAACAACAGCAGCAGAAAAAACAACAUCUAUGACAACAGAAGACACAACUGCAGGAACAACAAUAACAACUGCAAGAUCGACAACUUUACGGCCAACACCAACAUCUGCAGGAUCAAAAAUGACUGCAGGACCAAAAACGACAACUGCUCAACGAAAAACAAAAGCUACAGGACCCACAACAACAACCUCGGAACUCCCAACAACAACAACGCCAACUGCUGAACCAACAACUACAAUUGCUGGAACAAGAGCUACAACUGCAGGAACACCAACCACUGCAGGACCAAAAACGACAACUGUUGAACAAACAACAACUGUGGAACCUACCACUGUUACUCCAAAAAUACUAACUAUUGCUGCUGGACCCACAACAACAACUGCAGGACCAACAACGCCAACUGUAGAACCAACAACAACUGCUGGAACAAGAGCUAAAACUACAGGACUCGCAACAAAAACGGCAGGACCAACAACGACAACUUCUGAACCAACAACAAUUGCAGGACCU